ACGUACGCUGGCGGCACGCCUAACACAUGCAAGUCGAACGAAGUAGCAAUACUUAGUGGCGAACGGGUGAGUAUAAUGUGGGUAUCUGCCUUUUGGUUUGGAAUAACACGGGGAAACUUGUGCUAAUACCGGAUAAGCCUUCACAGGGAAAGUUUUAACGCCAAAAGAUGAGCCCGCACUUGAUUAGCUAGUUGGUAAGGUAAUAGCUUACCAAGGCUACGAUCAAUAGCUGAUCUGAGAGGAUGAUCAGCCACAUUGGGACUGAGACACGGCCCAAACUCCUACGGGAGGCAGCAGUGGGGAAUCUUGCACAAUGGGGGAAACCCUGAUGCAGCGAUGCCGCGUGAGUGAAGAAGGCCUUUGGGUUGUAAAACUCUUUCGUCGGGGAAGAAAAUGACUGUACCCGAAUAAGAAGGUCCGGC
rnacentral:rRNA from 1 species